CACGUAGGGGGCGAGCGUUGUCCGGAAUUACUGGGCGUAAAGGGCGUCUAGGCGGCCUGAUACGUCGGCAGUGAAAGACUCCAGCUCAACUGGGGCAUUGCUGCCGAAACGGCCAGGCUUGAGGGCAGGAGAGGGAAGCGGAAUUGCCGGUGUAGCGGUGAAAUGCGUAGAGAUCGGCAGGAACACCAGUGGCGAAGGCGGCUUCCUGGACUGCCCCUGACGCUGAAGCGCGAAAGCGUGGGGAGCAAACGGG
rnacentral:rRNA from 1 species